rnacentral:rRNA from 1 species
CUACGGGAGGCAGCAGUGAGGAAUUUUGCGCAAUGGGGGCAACCCUGACUCACCAACUCCGCGUGAGUGAUGAAGGCCUUAGGGUCGUAAAGCUCUGUCAAGUGGAAAGAAGUUACGUAUAAUUAAAAGUUGUAUGUAUUGACGGUACCACUAAAGGAAGCACCGGCUAACUCCGUGCCAGCAGCCGCGGUAACACGGGGGGUGCAAGCGUUAUUCGGAAUUAUUGGGCGUAAAGGGCACGUAGGCGGUUUGUCAAGUCAGAUGUGAAAGCCCGGGGCUCACCCUCGGAAGUGCAUUUGAAACUGGCAGACUUGAGUAUGGUAGAGGGAAGUGGAAUUCCUGGUGUAGAGGUGAAAUUCGUAGAUAUCAGGAGGAACACCGGUGGCGAAGGCGACUUCCUGGACCAAUACUGACGCUGAUGUGCGAAGGCGUGGGGAGCAAACAGGAUUAGAUACCCUUGUAGUC